rnacentral:lncRNA from 10 species
UCACUUCCCAAGACAUCUGGAGCAGCUGACUCAAGCACCAAUGAGAUAAUGUUUUUAUUUGUUCUAUUUUUUUUUUUCCUUUUCCAGGUGGAGAGAAAAUGAGCCCUCAGCUUUCCUGUAAGCCUCUACUAAGUGGCUUCCUGUCUGCAUGAAACAGAAAGAAAUUCCAGAAUCAUGCAAGUGGGGUUGGGACAGGGUGGGUAGUGUAUGCUUAGGACUUGCCUUUUUUUUUUUUUUUUUUUUUGCCUCCAUUGCUCU